AGUUUUCGACACAACAAAGUUCGACUGUAUUUGGUGCUUUUAUUUAUUUGAAUUAAAAUUAGUUAAUUUACUAUAAGAAAUAAACAAUUUUCAGUUAAAGUCGGGAAAUUAAAUUCAUGCGUCAGAAUGAAAUGAUAUACUGUAAAAGUACUUUUAUUCGUGGGGUACCAAUUUUCGUAGUUUUCGUCGAUGACUUUAUCCACGAAUUUAAGUGUCCAAUAAAAUAAAACAACCUUUGUCCAAAUCAAGAAAUGGAAAGAUCCCCCUCAGUAGGUUUGACUACUGAU
rnacentral:lncRNA from 1 species